ensembl:lncRNA
UUAAUUUUUGUACCCUUUUUUCUCCCCAAUUUCAUGGAAUCCAAUUGGUAGUUAUAGUCUUGUAUUUAAUUUUUUAUUUUAUUUCACCUUUAUUUAACCAGGUAUGCUAGUUGAGGCUAGUUCUCAUUUGCAACUGCGACCUGGCCAAAAUAGAGCAAAGCAGUUCGACACAUACAACAACACAGAGUUACACAUGGAAUAAACAAACACACAAUCAAUAAUACAGUAGAAAAAUCUAUAUACAGCAUGUACAAAUGAGGUAGGAUAAGAGAGGUAAGGCAAAAAAUAGGCCAUGGUGGCAAAGUAACUACAAUAUAGCAAUUAAACACUGGAAUGGUAGGAAGUGCAGAAGAUAAAUAUGCAAGUUGAGAUAAUGGGAUGCAAAGGAGCAAGAUAAAUAAAUACAGUAUGGGGAUGAGUUAGAUUGGAUGGGCCAUUUACAGAUGAGCUAUGUACAGGUGCAGUGAUAUGUGAGCUGCUCUGACAGCUGGUGCUUAAAGCUAGUGAGGGAGGUAAGGGUCUUCAGCUUCAGAGAUUUUUGCAGGUCGUUCCAGUCAUUGGCAGCAGAGAACUGUAAGGAGAGGCGGCCAAAGGAAGAAAUGGCUUUUGGGGUGACCAGUGAGAUAUACCUGCUGGAGCGCGUGCUACGGGUGGGUGCUGCUAUGGACCUGAGCCCUAGGACCAUGCCCCAGGACUACCUGACAUGAUGACUCCUUGCUGUCCCCAGUCCACCUGGCCGUGCUGCUGCUCCAGUUUCAACUGUUCUGCCUUAUUAUUAUUCGACCAUGCUGGUCAUUUAUGAACAUUUGAACAUCUUGGCCAUGUUCUGUUAAAAUCUCCACCCGGCACAGCCAGAAGAGGACUGGCCACCCCACAUAUGCUCUCUCUAAUUCUCUCUUUCUUUCUCUCUCUCAGAGGACCUGAGCCCUAGGACCAUGCCCCAGGACUACCUGACAUGAUGACUCCUUGCUAUCCCCAGUCCAUCUGACCGUGCUGCUGCUCCAGGUUCAACUGUUCUGCCUUAAUUUUAUUGACCAUGCUGGUCAUUUAUGAACAUUUGAACAUCUUGGCCAUGUUCUGUUAUAAUCUCCACCCUGCACAGCCAGAAGAGGACUGGCCACCCCACAUAGCCUGGUUCCUCUCUAGGUUUCUUCCUAGGUUUUGGCCUUUCUAGGGAGUUUUUCCUAGCCACUGUGCUUCUACACCUGCAUUGCUUGCUGUUUG